rnacentral:rRNA from 1 species
GAUGAACGCUGGCGGCGUGCCUAAUACAUGCAAGUCGAGCGAACGGACGAGAAGCUUGCUUCUCUGAUGUUAGCGGCGGACGGGUGAGUAACACGUGGAUAACCUACCUAUAAGACUGGGAUAACUUCGGGAAACCGGAGCUAAUACCGGAUAAUAUUUUGAACCGCAUGGUUCAAAAGUGAAAGACGGUCUUGCUGUCACUUAUAGAUGGAUCCGCGCUGCAUUAGCUAGUUGGUAAGGUAACGGCUUACCAAGGCAACGAUGCAUAGCCGACCUGAGAGGUGAAUGGCCACACCGGAACUGGAACACGGUCCAGACCCCCACGGGAGGCAGCAGUAGGGAAUCUUCCGCAAUGGGCGAAAGCCUGACGGAGCAACGCCGCGUGAGUGAUGAAGGUCUUCGGAUCGUAAAACUCUGUUAUUAGGGAAGAACAUAUGUGUAAGUAACUGUGCACAUCUUGACGGUACCUAAUCAGAAAGCCACGGCUAACUACGUG